CAGGGAUUCUUUCAGUGUCUUAAUUUGGUUCAGACUAGACUUUAUCCUUAAGGAUUUGGAAGGAAGAAUUUGAAUAUAGUGCAACUAUUGAUAAGGGAUAAAAUUCCUUUUUGACCAGUUUUGUGGCAGUGUAUAAUCAUCAGUUAUCCACAUCAAAUCGCUGUAUUACAAUACUCAGCAUUAAGAUACUUAAAACCAGGACAUUGAACAUUUCAAAAGUUUGCUAAGACCAGGACAAAGUUAAAGCAAAACACGGUUUCAAAAACCUAAGGAAACCGAGAAAGAAAAAAAAAACAGGCUAAGAAUUCUGGAUCAAGCAAGUCUAGUAACAAGAAC